GCUUGGGCUCGAUCGGAUCGGUCGGUUUUGUGGAUCUGUUCUUUUGGGUAAAGAUAUAGAUUCAUAAACUUUAUAUUUGAUUCCGGUCAGUUAUACUCAGUUUCGAAUCGGUUUGGUUUUUUUUUUUUUUUUAACUUUUUAAAAUUGGAUUCUUUUUUUUUUCUCAAUAACAAUUAAAACAAAAAAAAUUGAACUUCAGAUAAUUUCAUUCUACUUAAUUUCACAAAGUGAUAAACUUUACAAUUAGAAAACCUUUAUAACUAAAUCAUUAAUAAAAACAGAGAAAAUUAAACACAUAAAGUUAUAGUCAUAUAUGCAUUAGGGUUUUUACAUUGGGUUCUGAUCGGUUUAGUUGUCUAUUCGAAUCCAGAUCUAUUCAGAUCGGUUCUACCAGACAAAAAUCUUUUGGAUAAAGUAGUUUUGAACUCAUAUAAUCCACAAAAUUUUGGAUCAUUUUCAAUAUCAAUUCAGAUUUUAGGAUCCAGGUAAAAUGAGACUCAACUUCAUCUGAAUCACAAAGAUAAUAACUCUAUGCUUAUUACCUCAGGUCGUUCUUCUUUGUCCAGGUCAGCAGCUUUGGAAUCAAGCAUCAUGGCCUCAACGCUCAAACCCACCGAGUGCUCUUUCCAGUAAUUCUUUUGGAUUUCACGCUCUUCCCCUGAAUCUGAGGAUACACCAUCCACAACCAGCAAAACAAUCAAGAAAAGGUUACCAAAAUCAGCAAAUCAAUCAAGAAUAUGGAUCUCGAAAAGCUUCUUUCCGGUUAUCGUUCGGUUUAUGCUCAACCGAACCGAAAACCUUUCUUUAUCAUGGCGGGGUCCAAAAUUCAACUACGGGAAAUUAGGUGAGGGACGUUGGGCCGUUUGGAGAAUCUAGUUUGUCGUUAC
rnacentral:lncRNA from 1 species